UCCUACGGGAGGCAGCAGUGGGGAAUCUUGCACAAUGGAGGAAACUCUGAUGCAGCGAUGCCGCGUGAGUGAAGAAGGCCCUUGGGUUGUAAAGCUCUUUUGUCGGGAAAGAUAAUGACUGUACCCGAAGAAUAAGGUCCGGCUAACUUCGUGCCAGCAGCCGCGGUAAUACGAAGGGACCUAGCGUAAUUCGGAAUUACUGGGCGUAAAGCGCGCGUAGGCGGUUAAGUAAGUUAAUUGUGAAAGCCCAAAGCUCAACUUUGGAAUUGCAAUUAAAACUACUUAUCUAGAGUUUAUCAGAGGAAAGCCAAAUACA
rnacentral:rRNA from 1 species